UACAACUCCCAGGGAAACACGUUUCAUGUAUCAUUUUAGUUCACUGGGUGACUCCAGCUAGUGCCUGGUGCUGAGCUACGGGCUUCGCAAUCAGGUGAUAUGUUAUUUAUAGUCUAAAAUAAUGAGCCCUAGCUUGGGAAAACACAUUCUCUGAAAGCUCCCAGGGCAGGUUCGGCACAUAUUUUCAUGGUGAGUUGUACCUUACAUCACCCCGUUUCUUCCCAGACUGCGUUAAGGAGCUAUUGGCCUGUCUGACGCUGCUCCUGAAGGGCUUGAAUGCGGGAACGUGGCGAUGGCCCGUGUCCUGCCAGCCCUGCCUCAGGGAAGCCACUGCCAGCGGCUCCAGCAACAGCCUGGGUGGAUGAUGGAGAGGAGCAAACGCGCGGUGGGACUGCAUUGAGAGCGAUUGCCCCACGAGAGGUGCGGAGGGGUGGAGGACACGUGGCAUGGGACAUGGCCUGGUUUGUCCCCAGCAGAAGGACGGCUUCACCGAGCGGCUCAAGUGCUGGCUCAGCGGAGCAAAUACAGGCUCCGAGCGCAGGAGCUUGAUCCGGUGGCUGGGAAUCCAUCACAGCCUGGACACGAGGAGUCAAUCGCGUCAUGAGCAAAGGCUUUGUGUCAUGGUGUGAAUGCAACAUGUUCGACAGCAUACCUGCCGGGGAAAAUAUCGUCUGCGAUGGCAACCUCCAGGACAGCGUGAGCAGCAAGGCAGCAUCUGUUCCUCCCCACCGGAGCCGCCGUGAUGGACUGCCAAGGACGGAGCUCCCUCCUCCCAACUUCCCGCUGUCUGGAAGCCAAGAACUUCAAGCUGAUCAAAGAAACAAACACUUUUAAUGAAACAUAUGCAAGAUACUUAGAAGGAGAAGAUUCACAAUGCAUCUGCUGCGGGACCAGAAGGCUUAUCAAAAGUGUGAAGUAGGAGGAGAAAAAUUACUAGCGUAUGAUGCCAGAGAAGAUUACAGAAAUAUUAAGCAGAAGGAAUGUAAACACGUAUAGCUGGUGAUAGCUGGCGCGGGGCUCGCCGUGCACAAAGAGCUGCCGUGCAGCGUGGGGCUGGGGAUGCUCUUGCUGGUGCGUGCAAGAGCCAACGUGCAGGGGAUGGGGGCCGGUACCCGGGUACCCAACCCUCCCCUCCCAGCCCCGAUGGGCUCCGUGGGAUCAGGCAGGGCCAGCCACGGCCACAUCCACCCGUUGGUGGACAGUCCCCUCCCAGGAGCCCCCCUCUCCUGCCGCCUGGCUCCAGCUCGACGCCGGGACACCAGCGCAGAUCUCGCCACGCCGGCCGGUCAGCUGUCCUCAAAGCCCGGGAGCCUUGCAACGGCGAUUUGUUGGCAUUUUCCUCAUGAAACAAAAACUUCAAUGUGAUAUCCAUUUUCUUGCAACAUAUUUUAUGGAAAAUGUAAAUAUUGUGAAAAACUGUAAUUUCUGUUGAUAAUAGAGUAGGUUUAUUAUCAGCAGGAAUAUCGCGUAAUUAUUUCUGUUCCACAUUCAGGAGUGAGCAGACAUAUGGCUUUAUCUAUUUCAGCCACUGGCCAAAUUCUGCUCUCCCUUAACCCUUCCAACCUUGGUGAAUUCAGCGAGGCUGCACAAUUAUAGCUGGCAGCAGGAUCUGGCGCUCUUAUUUCUUGUUAAAUGACUAUUUUUUUUCAUUUCGGAGCUGCCUUCCUGACCUCCCCCCCACAUGCAGGCUGCUGCCCUUGCUGUGCACUGUAGUUUUGCUUCUCCCUUUAUGGCGCUGGCGGUUGCCUGCAAUGGGCUUUUUCUGCCAGUAAGUGCCACCGACGGCUCUGCUGGGGCUGUCCCAGUGGGGGCUCUGCCCCCUCCCCAGCUUCGGGGGAGCCCAGUGAGGGCAGGGGCAGGGCACGGUGCCCUCGGGAUGGCAGCUGGGCAGACGGGGCUGCUGUACCACUGCCCGUCUUUGCGUAACCCAUGAAGGGCUGGACCAGCAGCGCGUUUACCUCCGUGAGCUCCUCUGGCCCAGCGUGAGCCGGGGGCGAGAGGCAGCAGUGCUGUCCCCAGGCUCCGGGCUUCCCCGAUGGCGGUGGCUGCCGUGCGCCGUGAUGCUCUGCGUUUCCCUCUGCUGACCUAGCAGCAUGAGAAACCUCAUAGGCAGCACCGUCUCUGGGUACUGUCAAAUAAUCAGCCAUCACCAUCCAUCAGCACUGACUGUCCUGUCUCCGUCACUGUUCUCUCCCAUCUCUUUUCCCCACACCCACUCAGGAAAAUGCCUGGUUUUCCCUUUGCCUGAGGAAGCCGACACUCCAGUUUCCCUCUUGGCAUGGCUCCACAGGCGGACGGGGGACGAGUCGAGGGGACGCGGCAGGUCCCGGCUGCCAGGUCAGUUUUGCCCUGAGGUUACCAGCCACAGAAGACCCACCAGCAUAUGCCGAGGUGGCCAGGAGGCAGGUUUAAUGUAUGCUCCUGACCUUUCCGAUCCCUCUGCUGAGCUCCGCAUCUGCGAGGCUGCCUGGUCGCCCAAGAGGGACGGAUGUCCUCUCUCUGCCCUGUUUGGGAGAUGAAGCCGCCGCUGCCUCCCCAUCUCCCCGACUGGAGAAGAGGAGGAAGAGCAGCAGCCUCUGAAACCAGUGGGCGUCACCACCACUGUCACCUCUUCCUGAAACUGCUGGCAGAUGCUGCCUUGCCUUUUGUGGACAUGGCUGCCAACAGGGGUAAAGGAGAACAAUUUCAGCUGGAAGGGACCUACAAGGAUCAUCUCGUCCAACUGCCUGACCCCUCCAGGCCCGACCAAAAGUUAAAGCAUGUUGUUAAGGCCACUGUCCAAAUGCUUCUUCAACACUGCCAGGCGUGGGGCAUCCACCACUUCUCCAGGAAGCCUUUUCCAGGGUUUGACCACCCUCUUGGUAAAGAAAUGCUUCCUAACGUCCAGUGUGGAAGGUUCAAGACUUCAAGGAAGGUUGCCACGCUGCCGUCCAUGGACCACCGGUGGUCCAAGGAGCAGAAACUGGGGCCCUUUCCUCUUAUUUCCAAGCAGUUGUUCUGGGUGUGCAACACAGUUGUGAAGAAGCACUUCCAAACUCCGCAUUCAGGUAAAGAGCAGCGUCUGCUUCGGAAAAGCUCAAGCAUUCCUUUAUAAACGCGCUGUUUAUUGUGCUUUAUAAAUAGCUCUCACGGUGACAUGUAAAGCCUGAAGUAUUGCGUUCCGCUCAGCACAGUGGUGCUUGUUGGAGAAGGAGCCCUA